rnacentral:rRNA from 1 species
UAAGCAUAUCAAUAAGCGGAGGAAAAGAAACUAACAAGGAUUCCCCUAGUAACUGCGAGUGAAGCGGGAAAAGCUCAAAUUUCGAAUCUGGCGGUUCACCGGGACCGUCCGAAUUGUAAUCUAGAGAAGCGUCUUCCAGCCCCGUGCCGUGUACAAGUCUCCUGGAAGGGAGCAUCAUAGAGGGUGAGAAUCCCGUCUUUGACACGGAUCCCGUCGGUGCUUCGUGAUGCGCUCUCGACGAGUCGAGUUGUUUGGGAAUGCAGCUCAAAUAGGGUGGUAAACUCCAUCUAAAGCUAAAUACAGGCGAGAGACCGAUAGCGAACAAGUACCGUGAGGGAAAGACGAAAAGAACUUUGAAAAGAGAGUUAAACAGUACGUGAAAUCGUUGAAAGGGAAACGCUUGACGUCAGUCUCGUCGGUCGGGGAUCAACCUAGGUCGCUGGGUGCACUUCCCGCUCCGACGGGUCAGCAUCAGUUUCGGAUCCCGUCGUACAAGGGCCGAGGGUGAAUGUGCCACGCUCCGGCGUGUGUUAUAGCCUCUCGUCGUAUGCGGCGGUCGGGACUGAGGAACUCGGCACCGAACAUAAGGUGUCUAGGAUGCUGGCAUAAUGGCUUUAAGCGACCCGUCUUGAAACACGGACCAAGGAGUCCAACAUGCCUGCGAGUGUU